CCAGGAACUGGUGCCAUACAGGCGCUCUCACUGCCGUGAGCUCACGGGUCUGGAAGUAAUGGUCAUUGAAGAGCUCAGGGCGUGAUGAUUGCGGGACAGUAAGGAGCAAAAAACAUCGAUCCCACUCAUUGGUUCCUACUUUGUUCAGCAAGUGUUGAGGCGUAGCUGUUGAAUCAACCACAGUUGUGCUUAGGAGGGCGCAUAAACAUUUUAUUAACGAAAAAGGAAAGGAAAUAAAGCAUAGCCUUUAUAAGUAAUUGGAAAGACUGUCAGACUUUAUAGGAUUCCUUGUCCAACAUUGGGAACUUCCGUGAGUGUCUAACGGUGUCCGUUUCUUCUGAAUUGUUUCUUCGGCUUGAACUGGUUCAAUAUAAAGAAAGUGACGUUUCACUUUGUGUUCAUCGCCUGGAAAGGUUCCAGGGAUCGCUGUUAACAGGACACAGUUUCAAGUGCUAGAUCGUCGAAUAGACACGAAGUGUCUUCUACAGGAAGUAGUAUCUCUUGACAACUGAUUGCGGCGAUAUCCCCUUCCGAAAGUCAAGACAGCAGAGCUCUCAUUGAUUAAACAUCAGCAUCAUCCACGAAAAAA